GACGAACGCUGGCGGCGUGCUUAACACAUGCAAGUCGAACGGAAAGGCCCUGCUUUUGUGGGGUGCUCGAGUGGCGAACGGGUGAGUAACACGUGAGUAACCUGCCCUUGACUUUGGGAUAACUUCAGGAAACUGGGGCUAAUACCGGAUAGGAGCUCCUGCUGCAUGGUGGGGGUUGGAAAGUUUCGGCGGUUGGGGAUGGACUCGCGGCUUAUCAGCUUGUUGGUGGGGUAGUGGCUUACCAAGGCUUUGACGGGUAGCCGGCCUGAGAGGGUGACCGGCCACAUUGGGACUGGAGUCAGGCCCAGAAUCCUACGGGAGACAGCAGUGGGGAAUUUUGCACAAUGGGCGGGAGCCAGAUGCAGCAACGCCGCGUGCGGGAUGACGGCCUUCGGGUUGUAAACCGCUUUCGCCUGUGACGAAGCGUGAGUGACGGUAAUGGGUAAAGAAGCACCGGCUAACUACGUG
rnacentral:rRNA from 1 species